UGUGUAUGUGUAUAUCUAUAUACUGUAUAUAUAUAUAUCCUUUUCUUCCAGAUGCACCCUUCUAUAAUUGAGGAAGGCGACAGGCUGAAGUGCACGACCGUGUCGCCAUCUGUGUUUGCUUGUCCUGUCUGCCCCAAAUUCACAACCAGAAGUGAAAGUGUCAUCCAGAGGCACUUGCUGAAUCAUGCGGCAAAUGCAGUGCAUUUCAAGGAAAAGAUCAUCUGCAGAUGCAAUCUGCCCUGUCUAUUUUGUGGAACUACAAUAAUCCGGAAAGACACCAUUACACCCUAUCUUAUACAGUGCGAAAAUAAAUGUGAUAUGGCUCAACUCACCUCGGCUCCACCAUCUCAACCACCCUCACCAGAGACCCACCCUACUGUUUUAUCAUCAACGAGUGUGGAACAUUCAUACACACUCCCACCUUCUGUGUCAGUCGUCAAAAUUGACCAUUCCUACACACAAACAGCAUACCCGAAGACCCCAGAUCUAUCUCAGUCAACCCCAGCUCCAACCUCAGAGGAUCCCAUUGCUCCAAAGGAAGAAGUAAAUGGGGGUGUGUCACCAACCGAUGUGAGGUGCCCGCACUGCCCAGUGGUUUUGUACAAGAGGAAUUUGUUUUUACAUAUCCAAAGAAAUCAGAAUCAGAAUCAGAAUCAGAAAUACUUUAAUAAUCCCAGGGGGAAAUUAUUUUUGUUACAAGCUCCAGAUAUACAAAUAACAUAUAUUAUACAAGCAACAUCUAGUAAGAGCAAAAUAUAAAUAUGAAUAUAAAUAUAAACAUAAAUAAAUAAAAAUAAAUAAAUAAAAUAUAUAUAUAUAUAUAUAUAUAUAUUUAUAUAUAAAAGAUCAAAUAUACAGCUAAAUAAUGUGCAAGAAGUACAAAAAAAGAAACGACUGUCCAUGUUUGAGUCAGGUUACAGAAGGAGGGGUGUCUGACUCUCUUAGGGAGGCGUUAUAAAGUUUAAUGACCACAGGCAGGAAUGAUUUCCUGUGGCGCUCAGUGGUGGAUCUGGGUGAGAGGAGUCUACCGCUGAAUGUGCUCAUCUGCUGGGCAAGUGUGUCGUAAAGAGGGUGUGUGACAUUAUCCAAGAUGGACUGAAGCUUGGACAGCAUCCUCCUCUCUGCCACGGUUGUUAGAGUGUCCAGCUCCUCCCCCACGACAUCACCCGCCCUUCUGAUCAGUUUGUUCAGUCUGUUGUUAUCUGCGACCUUCAGCCCACUGCCCCAGCAUGUGACAGCGAGGAAGAUCGCACUGGCCACAACAGACUCAUAGAAUAUCCUCAGCAUCGUCCAGCAGAUGUUAAAAGACCUCAGCCUCCUGAGGAAAAAGAGUCGACUUUGGCCCUUUUUGUAGACCGCCUCAGUAUUUCUUGUCCAGUCCAGCUUAUUAUUAAAGUACACCCCCAGAUAUUUAUAUUCCUCAACAUUGUCCACAGGGACACCCUGGAUGGAAACAGGGGUCACUGUUGUUUUCGCCCUCUUCAGAUCCACUAUGAGCUCCUUUGUUUUUGUCACGUUGAGCUGCAGAUGAUUCCGUUCACUCCAAGUGACAAAGUUGUCCACAACAGUCCUGUAUUCAUUCUCAUCACCCUUCUCGAUGCAGCCAACUACUGCUGAAUCAUCAGAAAACUUCUGACUUCUUGUCAGAAGUUUUGUGCCUGAGAUAAGCUUCUUGUGCCUGAGAUAAGCUUCGAACAGACAAGUCAGCUGUGCCAGGAGGAGGAGUCCUUGCUGCCAUCUUCGCCCCGCAAGGAGGAGUCCCCCCAAGUCGCAACAAGAGGGAACAUCCACUCUCCACCAACCCCAACCAAC
rnacentral:lncRNA from 1 species